rnacentral:rRNA from 1 species
GAAUCUGCCUUUAGGUCCGGGACAACCACUGGAAACGGUGGCUAAUACCGGAUGUGCCGCAACGUGAGAGGGGAAACCCGCCUGAAGAUGAGCUCGCGUCUGAUUAGCUAGUUGGUGAGGUAAAGGCUCACCAAGGCGACGAUCAGUAGCUGGUCUGAGAGGAUGACCAGCCACACUGGGACUGAGACACGGCCCAGACUCCUACGGGAGGCAGCAGUGGGGAAUUUUCCGCAAUGGGCGAAAGCCUGACGGAGCAAGACCGCGUGAGGGAAGAAGGCUCUUGGGUCGUAAACCUCUUUUGUCAGGGAAGAACACAAUGACGGUACCUGACGAAUCAGCCUCGGCUAACUCCGUGCCAGCAGCCGCGGUAAUACGGAGGAGGCAAGCGUUAUCCGGAAUUAUUGGGCGUAAAGCGUCCGUAGGUGGCUAGUCAAGUCUGCGGUCAAAGACUGGGGCUUAACCCUGGAAAGGCCGUGGAAACUGACGAGCUAGAGUGCAGUAGGGGUAGAGGGAAUUCCCGGUGUAGCGGUGAAAUGCGUAGAGCUCGGGAAGAACAUCGGUGGCGAAAGCGCUCUACUGGACUGCAACUGACACUCAGGGACGAAAGCUAGGGGAGCG